rnacentral:rRNA from 1 species
CCUACGGGAGGCAGCAGUGAGGAAUAUUGGUCAAUGGACGAGAGUCUGAACCAGCCAAGUAGCGUGAAGGAUGACUGCCCUAUGGGUUGUAAACUUCUUUUAUAUGGGAAUAAAAUGUUCCACGUGUGGGAUUUUGUAUGUACCAUAUGAAUAAGGAUCGGCUAACUCCGUGCCAGCAGCCGCGGUAAUACGGAGGAUCCGAGCGUUAUCCGGAUUUAUUGGGUUUAAAGGGAGCGUAGGUGGAUUGGUAAGUCAGUUGUGAAAGUUUGCGGCUCAACCGUAAAAUUGCAGUUGAAACUGGCAGUCUUGAGUACAGUAGAGGUGGGCGGAAUUCGUUGUGUAGCGGUGAAAUGCUUAGAUAUCACGAAGAACUCCGAUUGCGAAGGCAGUUCACUGGACUGCAACUGACACUGAGGCUCGAAAGUGUGGGUAUCAAACAGGAUUAGAUACCCGAGUAGUC